CGGCGAGUCCCUGGGGCCAAAAAGACGCACAGCGUCCAAUCGUGCGAAGAGGAAGGAUCGCAUGCGCUUAGUUCAAACUGCUUACUAAAAUUAUUUAAAAUGUUCAGUUGAUAGGCAUGGAAGAAAGACAAGGUCUAGGCAUAAAACAACUUUAGCCACCAAGCCAGGCAUCAAGCUAGGAGGAACAAAGGAAAGCCAUCUGCUCUGCCCCUCACUGAUGUAAGAACAUUGAAAGAGUCAGAGUUGGAUCUGGGGCCAGUGGGAAAAUUCCCAUCACAAACCUCUGAGUACAAGGACCCGUCCCAUCCAGGAAGAAAAGGUUGGUUUAGUUCUUGGAACAGCUGCAAGCCAAACUGUUACAUAAAGCUACCUGUGGCUUCCAACUGACUCCCACCUUGGGAAAGUCUUGAAUGAUACACUGAGUCUGACAUGAAAGUUGUUUUGCUCCACCAAAUAUGCAUAGCACUCUGCCUCGUUACCAUUGUGCAAAUCCUGCCCCAAUUGUUUGAAUUCUGCCCCAAUAGUUUGCAACUCUUUGUUAGAGUCUGUCUGCUCAGGGUCAUCUCCCCUUGAAGUGGGAUGGCCCCAACAAGUCGGAAUUAAACUCCUCUUCCUUUUGCAUCGA